CGUUUACACGACGGCUUGAUUUAGGGUCUUUAAAUUCGUUGGCAGGCAUCGGAGCUCUUCUCGUUCUUGACUUCGGCGAAGCGGUUCUGGGUGACGGGGAGAGGGAAGAUUGUGCUGAGGAGAGCUGGGAAGCAACAUCUGCUGGCGAAGAAGAACACCAAAAGGAAGUUGCGGUUGUCGAAGUUGGAUAUUGCAUGCUUUUGACAUUGGAUUGAAUUGAUCUUGGUUAGAGUUCCUUUACCGAUAUUUUUGCUGCCAUGAAGCUUUGAUAACACCACAUGCACAACCCCUUUUUGGUUCCCCCUUGGGUUGGCUUACUGUGGAUUAAUCUUGUUAUCUCUUAUCUAGAUGAGCAUUUGCUAGGAACAGUGUGGCUUUUGAUUUUGUGUGCUUGGUGUGUUUGCGCAUCAACAAUCAACAAGCAUGCCUAAGCUUGUAAGAGAAGUAGAAGCCAAAGAGAAAGAAGCAGAACAGCGACAACGAUUUGAGAUGCAAUCA